UAGUAGCGGCGAGCGAAGCGGGAAGAGCUCAAAUUUAUAAUCUGGCACCUUCGGUGUCCGAGUUGUAAUCUCUAGAAGUGUUUUCCGCGUUGGACCGCACACAAGUCUGUUGGAAUACAGCGGCAUAGUGGUGAAACCCCCGUAUAUGGUGCGGACGCCCAGCGCUUUGUGAUACACUUUCAAUGAGUCGAGUUGUUUGGGAAUGCAGCUCAAAUUGGGUGGUAAAUUCCAUCUAAAGCUAAAUAUUGGCGAGAGACCGAUAGCGAACAAGUACCGUGAGGGAAAGAUGAAAAGCACUUUGGAAAGAGAGUUAACAGUACGUGAAAUUGUUGGAAGGGAAACGCUUGAAGUCAGACUUGCUUGCCGGAGCUUGCUUCGGUUUGCAGGCCAGCAUCAGUUUUCCGGGGUGGAUAAUGACGGUUUGAAGGUAGCAGUCUCGGCUGUGUUAUAGCUUUCCGUUGGAUACAUCCUGGGGGACUGAGGAACGCAGCGUGC
rnacentral:rRNA from 1 species